rnacentral:rRNA from 1 species
AGUGAACGCUGGCGGUAGGCCUAACACGUGCAAGUCGAACGGCAGCACAGUAAGAGCUUGCUCUUACGGGUGGCGAGUGGCGGACGGGUGAGGAAUACAUCGGAAUCUACUUUUUCGUGGGGGAUAACGUAGGGAAACUUACGCUAAUACCGCAUACGACCUACGGGUGAAAGCAGGGGAUCUUCGGACCUUGCGCGAUUGAAUGAGCCGAUGUCGGAUUAGCUAGUUGGCGGGGUAAAGGCCCACCAAGGCGACGAUCCGUAGAUGGUCUGAGAGGAUGAGCAGACAAACUAGAACUGAGAGACGGUACAGACUCCGACGAGAGGCAGCAGUGGAGAAUAUUGGACAAUGGGCGAAAGCCUGAUCCAGCCAUACCGCGUGGGUGAAGAAGGCCUUCGGGUUGUAAAGCCCUUUUGUUGGGAAAGAAAAGCAGCAGGUUAAUACCCCGCUGUUCUGACGGUACCCAAAGAAUAAGCACCGGCUAACCUCGUG